UACGUAGGGUGCAAGCGUUGUCCGGAAUUAUUGGGCGUAAAGAGCUCGUAGGCGGUUUGUCGCGUCUGCUGUGAAAACGCGAGGCUCAACCUCGCGCCUGCAGUGGGUACGGGCAGACUAGAGUGCGGUAGGGGAGAUUGGAAUUCCUGGUGUAGCGGUGAAAUGCGCAGAUAUCAGGAGGAACACCGAUGGCGAAGGCAGAUCUCUGGGGCCGUAACUGACGCUGAGGAGCGAAAGCAUGGGGAGCGAACAGG
rnacentral:rRNA from 1 species